rnacentral:rRNA from 1 species
UACGUAUGGUGCAAGCGUUAUCCGGAUUUACUGGGUGUAAAGGGUGCGUAGGUGGCGAGGUAAGUCAGAUGUGAAAACUAUGGGCUCAACCCAUAGCCUGCAUUUGAAACUGUCUUGCUAGAGUGCAGGAGAGGAAAGUGGAAUUCCUAGUGUAGCGGUGAAAUGCGUAGAUAUUAGGAGGAACACCAGUGGCGAAGGCGGCUUUCUGGACUGUUACUGACACUGAGGCACGAAAGCGUGGGGAG